rnacentral:tRNA from 1 species
GGUCCGGUAUCUUAAUAGGCAGAGUCACCCGCUCAUAACGGGUUGUGUGUAGGUUCAAAUCCUAUCCGGACCA